CACAUGUUCAUCUAUGGGCGCACGUAUAUGUUCAAUCUAUAUCUCUUGUCUCUACUACUUCUUCUGGGAAAAAGAAAAAUAGAAUCUAAAAAGGAUCAUAAGGAAGGGAGAAGGAGGAGUGAGUGAAACCUUAUGGUGAGUCAAAGCCCUGUCCAGUUUGAAAUCUCAGCAGAGUGACAAACAUUGAGAGCUGUCAAAGAGCAAUUCCAGUCUCAUCACAACAUUUAAAGCUUUUGGAAUGCAUCGGUUUUGGAAGUAGUCCUCAGGAGUUGUUGCUCUGGAAUA